rnacentral:rRNA from 1 species
CGGCAGCGGAAGUAGCUUGCUACUUUGCCGGCGAGCGGCGGACGGGUGAGUAAUGUCUGGGAAACUGCCUGAUGGAGGGGGAUAACUACUGGAAACGGUAGCUAAUACCGCAUAACGUCGCAAGACCAAAGAGGGGGACCUUCGGGCCUCUUGCCAUCAGAUGUGCCCAGAUGGGAUUAGCUAGUAGGUGGGGUAACGGCUCACCUAGGCGACGAUCCCUAGCUGGUCUGAGAGGAUGACCAGCCACACUGGAACUGAGACACGGUCCAGACUCCUACGGGAGGCAGCAGUGGGGAAUAUUGCACAAUGGGCGCAAGCCUGAUGCAGCCAUGCCGCGUGUAUGAAGAAGGCCUUCGGGUUGUAAAGUACUUUCAGCGGGGAGGAAGGUGCUGAGGUUAAUAACCUCAGCAAUUGACGUUACCCGCAGAAGAAGCACCGGCUAACUCCGUGCCAGCAGCCGCGGUAAUACGGAGGGUGCAAGCGUUAAUCGGAAUUACUGGGCGUAAAGCGCACGCAGGCGGUCUGUCAAGUCGGAUGUGAAAUCCCCGGGCUCAACCUGGGAACUGCAUUCGAAACUGGCAGGCUAGAGUCUUGUAGAGGGGGGUAGAAUUCCAGGUGUAGCGGUGAAAUGCGUAGAGAUCUGGAGGAAUACCGGUGGCGAAGGCGGCCC